UGCUUAAUUUAAUAUUCUCAAUAUUACAUUUAAUAAUAUGUACGCAAUUUGUGCACAGAUUUUUAGUUGGACAAAUUUAUCUGGCCUUAUUUUUAAUAAUAAUUUCCUUUUCCAGGUCUGUAACAAGAUGCCCAUGGAAGUUUGUUUGGGUUUGAGUGGGAACGCGACCUCGCCUCGUUGUGGACAAGCUAUCAUAAUAUUUACACGGAGGUGUCUUUGGUGGAUUGGUGAUGCCGGCCAUUGACGGUUCGGGCUGUCCCUCAGACUGGUGGAUGGCGUCCUCCGGCUCCUCUCUGUGUUCGGCGGGAUACGGAUCGGCUCCAACAUGGACAUGCUGGGUAUGGGCGGAGACGAUAUGGUAUGUGGAGACGAGGUGGUCGGCGGGGUUGACGCAUCGGGGAUUGCAGCAAUGCUGGUGACUGGCUCCGAAUGAUGUGCGUCCGGAUGGGAAACAGACGAGUCUGGAUUGGUGUUGUCCAUCGUGAACCAAUAAAUCCGCGGAUAAUAGUAUGGAAUUUAAGAAGCAGUUCAGUAGUAUGUGAGCAGACAAGUGAAUCGAUGCUGAUUCGCGUAAAAUUAGAUAAGUGAUGAGAUAAGUGAACAACAAAUAUUUAUCACAGUGAUUAGUGCCACGAGAUGACUAGAGGAUAAUUCAGUGCACGUUGACCUUCAAUUGUUCGAGGUAAACAUAUAAACAUUAAAAAUUAACAAUAAAAAUAUGACAUAUAAUACUAACAUAUAGCAAUUGCCUGUGAGGUAGGAUACGAAACCUUCUUGUUUUAUAAUUUUCGUGUGGUUCAGUCCACAUACAAAAUUGAUCUGUUCAAUCUCAAGUUCGUUCUUUCUCUCCCCUAAAAAUUCAUCACUAGUUGACAAAUCUUUUACCCACAUUGAUCAUGCAGGGCACGGCUUAUCAAUAAUUGGGGUUCUGUGUCCCUCUAGUUUGAUUAGGAUUGUUAUGAUGAAUAUUCAGGCUAAGUUUGACAAGUUGGGAUUGAUCCAAAGUUUGAAAAAAUUUCUGGGUACUAGUGAAAUAAUUAUGUAAUCUAAUAGUGUAGCUGUACAUGCCUAGGGUUCUCAUCAGAGGCCCCACGUUGGGCGCCAUGUGUCAAAUCCCAGUCUCUGGAGGGGCGUCAUGUGUCAUGAUCUUACUCCAAAGGGGGGACACGGAAAUGUAUAAUUUGAACUAUAUGAUAAUAAAUUAGGGUUAUAAUUGUUCAGCCAAGAAUACGAUUCCUUCGUAUAGUGGGUCUUACCUUGGGUUGACGACUAUUGCAACCUAUUUUGCUCCGUAGAGAGGGGAGGACGUACAGUAAAAAAAAAAAA